AAUCAUUGUGCAGACCAACCAUGUCAGUAUGGAAAAUGUAUAGACGAAAUAGAUGACUUCUAUUGCGAUUGUAUGAUAUUUUUCAACGGCAAGACAUGUAACAAAUUGACUCCUUUGGCCAUAGCUUUUGUAUCGCUUGCAGCUUUAGGGUUACUACUGAUUGGUUGUUGUUCCUACUGGAAAAUUGUAAAAGUAUGUAAAAAAGGCAAGAAGAGAAAGGUGAAGCCCGUGAAAGAGAGAAAUAGACCAAAACCAAUGACAAGAGCACCACGUUAUGAUUGGUAAUUACGACCGGUAGUUU